rnacentral:misc_RNA from 1 species
CUUUUACCCUUUGGUUCCAUUCGCCGUUCCUCUUCAUUCGUUUCCUGCAAACUCUAAAGUGAGCCAGGGGUGCGUAGGAUUAGUAGGUGGAGGAGGAGGUGGUGUGGUGGAGGAAUCAUAGUUAGGCGUACACGUGGACGGUGAGAGAUGAUGAGUACGGAGGUGGUGACAGGGAGGUGGGGCACAUGGGAGGAAUUGUUGCUGGGUGGGGCCGUGCUCCGGCAUGGUACCCGAGAUUGGAAUUUGGUCGCCGCCGAGCUUCGAGCCCGAACCGUUUGCCCGUAUACUUUCACGCCUGAGGCAUGUAAAACCAAGUAUGAGGACUUGCAACAGCGUUAUUCUGGAUCCAAAGCUAUGUUUGAGGAGUUACGAAAGCAGAGAAUGGCCGAGUUAAGGCGAGCUUUAGAAGUAUCUGAAGACUCAAUUGGGUCAGUAAUCUGUUUCUUGCUGAUCUUGACUUUCUGUGAACUCUUAAUGCUGUGUUUAAGAUCAAACUACGUUCAGUUUCAGUGUCCUAAAGUGAAGAAGUGUGGUGUUCCCAAGUCCCAAACCUUUUCUCCGGGGUUCUUGUUAAUAUUGAUUAGUCAACUCUCAAUUUCCACCAAUGGUCAAAUUAUCCUAAUUAAUGAUAGUUUUCUUUAAGUUCCCAAAUAAUUAAUAUUUCAAGAACUGGCAUUUAGUGAAGAUGGAUAGUGGGUUACCUGUGGGGCCUUGAGCAUCUGCUCGUUGCUAAUCAGGAGAAAUUAGCAGGAAUUGAGGAAUGUUGACCUUCUGCAUCCCAAACUCGUGAUAUUGAGUUCUUUUAAUUUUUGCUUGGGAUAAGAUCUCAUUCAUCUCUAUACUUACUUUUGCUAUUCUGCAAAUUUGUUUCAAAUUCCUUUGGGAAUCUUGCAGUCUGCAACUCUUCAUUGUACAUUGUUCUACCAUUUACGCAUUUGGUCUAUUUCAGGUCACUGGAAUCAAAGCUUGAAAUUCUCAAGGCUGAGAGAAUAAAUGACAGCAAUGUUGGUUAUGACUCCAGUCAGACUGAAUCACUUGUACAAUUUCAGAAAUCUGAUGGAGUUGAAUCUUCCAGUAAAGAGACGUCAAAAGAUGGACUAUCGGCAGGGAGUUUCACUCAGGAAACCAGGACAAAUUGGUCCCGUGAAUGUCAGGUUCCCGCUUCUGUGUCAGUUGAAGAUAUUGAAACUAAGCCAGAAGUUCCAAUGUCUCCUAAACAAGAGAAAGUUUCAAACAUAGUGAAUCUCGCAGAGACCUUUUUUAUGGGACAAGGAGGGAGUAUAAGGAGGAGGAGAGGGAAGAGAAAGAGGAAAGGUUGUAGUAAGGAUGCGAAGGAAGGGAGUGUCGGAGAAAGUGAUUUUUGGGGGUCAACUGAUGUUUUAUCAGCUACGCGAUGUAAAGAGAAUUCAACCAGCAGUUCUGGUCAAACUGGCAGAGGUUUUGGUGUUGAUGAUAAAAGCAAGGGUUCAAGCAAGGUUGGACUCACUACUAAUCUCAUGGAAAUUUUUAAUUCCAUUGCAGAGAAUAAAUGUGCCAGUGUCUUUCGUCGGCGACUUGAUAGUCAGAAGAGGGGAAGAUACAAGAAAAUGAUUUUGCAGCAUAUGGAUUUUGAUACAUUAAGAUCAAGAAUUGCCAAUCACUCCAUUACAUCAGUUAAAGAAGUCUACAGAGAUCUGCUGCUACUUGCUAACAAUGCCCUAGUUUUUUAUUCCAAGACUACACGUGAAUACAAGUCUGCACUACUACUCAGAGACAUCGUCACGAAAAGUUUGCGACAGCAUUUGAAGGAUUAUAUCAGCAAGAUUACUAUUACACUGCUUUCAACCACACCAUCAAUGCUUCAUCCUCCUGUGAAAGCCCGCAGUGCUCGGCCUGUUAAUCGCAAACAGCUCGGAAAGGUGUCCAAAUCUGGGAACAGCAUCGCAAAGACUCCAAAUGCAGUUAAAAAACCAAGUAAUGUUCAUUCUCUUCCUUCAGCAGAGUCUGUAACCAUGACAAAGAAAGGAUCCGGCCGGCCACGAAAAGCUGGGCAUGGGAGCACCACCCAACCACCUGAAAAUCCACCCAAGGGAAGAAAGAGAACUCGAGCUAGGUGAGUAUGUUUGUAUAUCGUUCUUGUUCUUCUGUUAACAUUGAGCUAGGUCACCACGUUUGUAUAUUGUUCUUGUUCUUCUGUCAAUAUUUUGCAACCCUCCUCUAGUCGUAGCUUCUCAAUGUAACAAAUAUUGUAGGAUGUUUGCAUGUACACAAUCGUCACUUUCUGAUGAAGCUAACUGUUGUCUAAAUAUCACUGUAACAGUCGCAUCAAUUACCGAUAAUCAACCCUUUUCUUUCUUUUACUAUUUUCAGGCCCAGCCAUUGUUAGACAUUUUGGAGCAAAAGAAAUAGAAUUAAAAGCAG